CCCUGGUUAGCUCAGUUGGUAGAGCGCUCCACUGGAAAUGGAGAGGUCCCGGGUUCGAUCCCCGGACCAGGCA
rnacentral:tRNA from 2 species